UACGGGAGGCAGCAGUGGGGAAUAUUGGGCAAUGGGCGCAACCCUGACCGAGCAACGCCGCGUGAGUGAAGAAGGUUUUCGGAUCGUAAAGCUCUGUUGUAAGAGAAGAACGUGUGUGAGAGUGGAAAGUUCACACAGUGACGGUAACUUACCAGAAAGGGACGGCUAACUACGUGCCAGCAGCCGCGGUAAU
rnacentral:rRNA from 1 species